ensembl:lncRNA
AGAACUCAGCAGCUCUUACUCAGCUUCCCAGCCUUCACCUGCAGCUCUGUACACAGCAUCCCAUGACAGUCCAGUGCUUCCAUGCAUUCUAUGGCAAUGACUUCAAAAUGCAAACACACAUACUUCCCUUUGUUUGUUUUAAAACCACUGCAAGACAAUUUCAUUUUCUCAUCCUUGUUCUUAUAUCACGAGGAAGAUUUUCCCUAUUCACCCUUAAUCUGCCAUUUGUGUUUCCGUGUAACUUCACUGUAUCCUCUCCAAUAGUACAUUGAGGAUAUAUAAAUAUCACAAUAAUUUAGCAUUUGAUAAGCCGUCAAACAUUAAGAAAAACAUCUUCCUCAGGUAUAGCAUCAAAUAAUCCCCUGUAGAGGAAUGGCUGCAGGAGUGCUGACCACAGCUACGUGGCCGAUAGAAAUCAGCCUUCCGGCAGAUCUGCACCUGCAGUUACAGAAAUAGGUCUCCCUAUGUGUGUGCUGUUGGGAAAAAUGAAAGGUGGUGAUUGUGAUGGGUGAGAAACUGCUUUGCUCCCUGCAGAAGAGUUUUAGCUUUAUCCUUUUCCCUGCUCAGCAGCGCCGAACUGGGACUUUCCAACGGUUGUUUGGGCCCAGGGAAGGAGGAGAUGCAGUCUCAGGAGUGUGGGUGCUGCACACUGCGGGUCCUGGGAGCCCUCCGCUUCCUGCAGCAGUGAUCCCUCCCUCAGCAUCAUGGGAAGGAUGGCUCUGCUUACAGCCAAUGGGAUUUUAAUGGAGUGAAUAUUUGUCUCCAUUCAGGGGGAAUAUUUGCUCCACUGGAGCUUUGAAUGCAUAUUUGGAGACAGCAGAAAGCCAAAGGCAUGCGUGGGAGCUCAGUUUGAAGUAGAGCUUUACAGGAGGUGCAGCUCUGAGUCGGCACUGCGCUGUGCACACACAGCUUCCUGCAGGGCCAUGCACGGCAUCACUGAAGUGUGCUGGGCCUGGGAUGCAGCGCUGUGAUCUGCUCCUUUCCCACACACAGGGCUGGCUUCAGGAUUACACGUUAUAGAAAUGUUAAAUGCAAGGAAAUACACCAUCAAACCUACUGCAAACGCAAACCGUUUUCUGUUCUCUGCAGUAAAUACGGUUUGACAGAAAAAGAGGGAUUUGCUGCCGAGUCUGGACAGCCUUCCCCCUGAAUUACAGCUCUGUAUGAAAUGUGAAAUCCCGAAUGGACUCAUUUACACCAGCAGUCCUGGUUACCCCCUGAGCUACUGCUGUGAUAAGCAUUCACAGAUUGCUGAAGUGCUUCCACUUUACAGAACAGAAUUGUGCAACUUUCUGAUCAGAAACAGAAUUUCUCUGGCUGCCAAUGAGAGGAACACACUUCAAACAGGAAGGUGUGUAUAUUUCUGAAGGCCAGGAAAAAAACCCCACAGUAGUGGUAGAAGAGUGAGAGACAUUCUGUGUUUAUUUCUGAGAAACAGAGCGGCCCAUUUGUGCAUUGAUUGUCCGGGCUGAUCCCAGCUGUGCUGCAGCCAGGCUUUGCAAUGCCAUCUCUGUCUCUGUGUGCUGCAGUGCACAGAUGUGCCUUUCCUAGCGGAAAUCAAUGCAGCUGCAGGACACCUCCGGUGCUGCUACUGUCCAUGGCUUCCUUGAUUAAACUCUGCUAAAGC